CCUACGGGAGGCAGCAGUGGGGAAUAUUGCACAAUGGGGGAAACCCUGAUGCAGCGACGCCGCGUGGGGGAAUGAAUGUCUUCGGAUUGUAAACCCCUGUCAUGUGGGAGCAAAUUAAAAAGAUAGUACCACAAGAGGAAGAGACGGCUAACUCUGUGCCAGCAGCCGCGGUAAUACAGAGGUCUCAAGCGUUGUUCGGAAUCACUGGGCGUAAAGCGUGCGGAGGCUGUGUCGUAAGUCGUGUGUGAAAGGCGCGGGCUCAACCCGCGGACGGCACAUGAUACUGCGAGACUAGAGUAAAGGAGGGGGAACCGGAAUUCGCGGUGUAGCAGUGAAAUGCGUAGAUAUCGAGAGGAACACUCGUGGCGAAGGCGGGUUCCUGGACAUUAACUGACGCUGAGGCACGAAGGCCAGGGGAGCGAAAGGGAUUAGAUACCCCAAUAGUC
rnacentral:rRNA from 1 species